rnacentral:pre_miRNA from 1 species
UGGUGGUGGUGGUGGUGGUGGUGGUGGUGGUGGUGGUGGUGGUGAUGAUGAUGAUGAACACGACUGAGCAACAGCGUGCAGGAACUUUUGGUGGAAACGUGUGACAUCGUUCUUGUUAGCGCCACCACCACCACCACCACCACCAUCAUCAAUCACCACCACCACCAUCAUCAUCAUCAUCAUCAUCAUCA